rnacentral:rRNA from 1 species
UACAGAGGUCCCAAGCGUUGUUCGGAUUCACUGGGCGUAAAGGGUGCGUAGGUGGUCGGGUAAGUCUGAUGUGAAAUCUCCGAGCCUAACUCGGAAACUGCAUCGGAUACUAUUCGGCUUGAGGGUUGGAGGGGGGACUGGAAUUCCUGGUGUAGCGGUGGAAUGCGCAGAUAUCAGGAGGAACACCGGUGGCGAAGGCGGGAUCCUGGGCCAGUACUGACGCUGAGGAGCGAAAGCGUGGGGAGCAAACAGG